ensembl:lncRNA
UCUUAGCCCACUGAACCACUAGGCAAGCCCAAGAAGAAUCCUUUUAUUCACAGAUAGAAAAUCUCCACUACAAAUGACUGCACAGCCAGGUCACAUUUUUAGUCUUUUAUUUAUUUAUUUUUUUAAGUAAAGAAAUUCCACUGAAUCAAAGAUAACAAAAUUACAGCUUUUGUUUGUAAUGAUCUUUGUUUACCACCACACAGAAUCAAAACAGAACCAAAAGUAAUUUAUGAGAACAUAAAAUGAUCAAGGACACCACUGUUUAGUAUAAUUUCUUAAUAAAGGUAAAUAUCCUCAUAUUUAGAAAAAAUUGCAUUGCUAGUUGCAAAUCUUAAACACCUCAGUGCUGGAGGAUCCUACAUCCUGCCCCCACCCCCACCCCCAAAUCCAGCAGCACAGAGGCCUUCAGAACACAAACUCAAAAAUACAUUAUUUUCAGGGCAGCAUUUGAAGUUUCAGAAAAUUAACAACAACAACAACAAAACAAACCAAGAAACCAAAAUCAAACAAAACAGAAAUUUAGGAAUGUGUAAGUGAUGGUUCUCAAAAAUCAACCUGGAAGCACAUCUUGCCAACAGAAAGAAAGUGGUUCAUGGGAGUCUAACCAGGAAAGGGGGGAGAUGCAAACUGGCUCCCCCACCCCCACACCCCCCCAGCCCCUGGUGUCACUAAGGCAGCUGCAGUGGCAGAAAUCAGAAGCUCAGGUACAGUGAAGGUCUUCCUGAGGCGGUGGGCAAGACCCAGAUCGUCUGAGACUGGUGUGGAAAAGAGGGGACAGGAGUCUACAAGGACUUGUGCUUUAGGAAGACUAAAGAGGCCCCAAACAAAAACCAAAGGAAACCUAACUCCCACGCCUGCCCAGGAACUUGGUCCACCCCCCACAAACAGGCUGGGGAGGAGGUGACUGGCACUGGGACUGGGGCACAGCCGUCGUGCUAGGGGACUGUUGGCCGCGGCACGUGGGUGGCCUGGAAGGAGAAUGCCCCACGGCAAUGAAGGGCAUUUGUGCAGGUGCUAUAUAGGUGGUCGGUCCCUAACUUGCGGCAAUGGAUGUCUUGGCUAAUGGGGACACCAGGAGGGAGGGAAGGCAGGUUAUAGGCUUCGUUACUAAUUGACAGGAGUUGAGUUACAAAGACAAUCCAGCGGUUCAAAAUUAACUUCAGCUUACUCAUUAGAGAUAGAUGAAUGUUUUAUCCACAUACAUGCUGGGAAAAACAUGGUUCAGAAAACAUGAUGUGUUGGGAAGGAGGGGCUGGCUCCUUCAAAAGGGGCAGCUGUCCGCUGUCCUGGGGUCUGAGAACCACCGCUGAGCCGGGCUCUGCAGCCUGCCUCUGAGGGCCACUUGCGCGGCAGGGGGUGCUUGGGGUACAGCGGCUGAGGCAGCAGCAGCAGAGAACACACAAGAGGAAGCAGCUUUAGUUUUGGACAGCAUUCCAGUUCUCACUGCCUGCUCCCCUUCAAAUACAAUUUGGCAAAAGCUAUCUUAGUAUAUGAAGGGGGUUGGUGGUGGCUAUUUUCUUCUGUAUUUUUUUGGCCAUGCUUGCAGUAUGCAGGAUCUUAGCUCUCUGACCAGGAACUGAACCUUGCCCCUUGCACUGGGAGUGCGGAGUCUUGACACGGACCACCAGGGAAGUUGCGGGGGCGGGGUGGGGUGGCGGACAAUUUCCUCUGCUUUGAUAACAUGGGGAGAACACCUUUCCCUCAAUUGCUUGGCCACUAAAUGCCACACGCAGGCUUCUGCCACUUUUCAUGGCUUUUGGAAGCAUCCAACUAACUACAGAGUGAGGCCAAAAAGGAAGAAAGACAUCAGAGACCAGGUGUGUGGCCAGGUCCAGACUGCUCUUGAUUGUCAAGGUGUGGGAGGUGCCUAAUGUAACAUUCUCUGGUUUGCUGUGGCUUUGAUGCAGACUUAUAUAGCAGGAGAAUUUCAAUUCUGCAGCCAAAUAGCAUUGUCCUACCAGGGGAUAUUCUAGAGGCAAAUUAAGGCUUUCUGGGCAAAGAAAAAUGAUUCCAGCUGAUAUUGUGAGCAGACGCUGCAGCAAAAUGCUUAAUAUGAUAACUGUCCUGUCCUACCUCAGAGGACAAAGACCAGAGUCCUUUGAACUCAAGGGGAUGUUUCAGUGAUCUUCAGCGCUAAGUCAGAAUCAGUGCCAUGGGAAAAGAAAAGCCCUUCAGAGCUCAGACAUCUGCUAGCCUGGCAAACACAAACAAGAACACAUGUAUUGUUUCCCGGGCGCUGGCAAAAUGGAUCAUGAGCCACACAGUGACAAAGAGAGCUCUCAUUCAGAUGCCAGGCAGACGAACUCAACUAUCCAGAAAUCUCAGCUCUAAUGAAGGCUGCAGUUUGAGAAUGGAAGUCUGAGCAGGAAGGAUUCCUACCCUGGGAAUGCUCGAUGCUUGCCCAAGUCUCACAGAAUGACGGGGAUAUUCGCUUUGUUCCAACGGUCGGCACCUGUCCCUGUCAUAAGACUGCCCUUGGGACAGAAAGGCUACUGGGAGGACAAUGGAGGCUCUGAAGAGAAGCCAGCUGGGGACACGGGGCUUUGGGAAAAAUCAAGGUUCUUCACCAGCAAAGGCUGAAUGCAGUAGCUCACUCUCUCUCUCCAAGUCCCCUCAAGAUAGGCCCGAAGCCUUGACUUAUCUGUGUCCACUUACAAGGGCUGUAGAAGGCCAGUUGGGAAUGUUCUGGCAAAGGACGUGUAAACAGAUGAAGUGGACUUAGAGAUGGUCUAAGGUGAGGUAACCGAGGCUUAGAGAGGGGAAGAGAUUGUCCACAGACCAGUGUGAAUUAGAGACAGGAGAAGAAUCCAAGUGUCAGGACCCUGGUUACAUUAAUACCAAGUCAGGAAAGGAUGCUCCUCUGGCAAGUAUAUUCUCAUCCUAAGGCAUGUGGGAAAUGCUCGCCGGAGGUUCAAGGAAUACAGUGACAACAAAUAACUUUCUGUCUUCAUUCUGCCCUGGAAUCAUUGGUACAGACUCACAUCAGAGAAGGUAGGAGGUUUUCUUUAAGACUGUUAAACUCGCUACUGAUAUAAGUGCAUCAGGAAGACCUGAGACCAUUUUUCAAGUCAGAUAAUCCUAACUUGGGCUUCCCAGGUGGCUCAGUGUAGACACUUCACCUGCCAAUGCAAGAGACACAAAAGACGGGGUUUUGAUCCUGGGUCAGAAAGAUCCCGUGCAGGAGGAAAUGGCAACCCACUUCAGUAUUCUUGCCUGGGAAAUCCCAUGGACAGAGGGGCCUGGCGGGCUACAGUCCAUGGGGUCGCAAAGAGUCAGACAGGACUGAGUGACUGAACAUGCACAAUCCUAACUUGACUGGGAUCAGUUACUCACUGUUGUCUUCAAAACUGUUUACACAGGCAGGGAGAAAAACUUGGAAAAAUGUUGCUAGAAGCCUGCUUGGUUUUUUAACAUGCUCUUCCAGCAACAGAAUUGUCUAGGCCAUUGCAAUUUAUGUCCUUAAACUGAUUUUAAAAUAUAAUAUUCAAACACUCUGAAAAUUCAGCCUUGUGUUAGCCCCAAGAGGACCUCAGGAGCAAGAAGAGCUGCCACAUUAUCAUCAGAAAUGAACAGAAAAGCCAGGCAAGCGGGAGGGAGGAAAAAGCUGACCGACAUAUAAAGUGCUCCUCCUCCCUUGUUUAUCAGGCUUGAAUGCCUCUGUGCUCCCAUUCAGGAACAAACAAGAAUUUUCCUGUAAGACGGCCACAGUUACACUCUCAUUUCCAUGCAUGAGAGCCUGAAGCUCGAACAAAAGGCCUCAGUUGAUUUCAUGUGAGCUAAAAAGUGCCAUUCAGAGUCACACGCUAAAAAGACUUCAGCUGUGCAUGGCCCCCCACGGUCGUGUGGGGUAAAAUCCGGUUGUCCAGCAACAAAGGGAAUGCUCUGAGCCCUGCCUCUCCUGCGUGGGUCAACAGAACUGCCGGGCACACCAGGCUCCAGGGACUCCUGUCCCUGUCUCUGCCAAGUGUGUGACAACUGGACUGUUUUCUCCUCCUGAAUGGAGCUGGUACCUGGCUGCUAUAUAGUUGGAACAGAUUGAGGGGUGUGUCCUAAGGCAAACGAAAAGGAGACUCUUGCUUCCUGGGAUGGUGGUUCAGCCCCGUUAGGUUGUUGCUUCGUUUGUCUGAUUUCACAAAAAGUCUUGGGUCAGGAAGGUAGGAGCGGGAAACAUGACUGUGAAUUUUCUAGAUUACAGCUGCGGUUGAGGGUUGGAGGGAAAAGUAAUAGAGGGGGAAGAGACGAGCUUCCAAAUCGAGGGGCAGAAGAUAAAGUGCCGAUCUGUGCUGAAAGCACAUGAACGAGACGUGCACUUGAAAAAUAACAACCUGGGGGGAAAGUCAUGACGAUGAAUCUGUGUGUGUGUGAGACAGAAACCGAAGCCAAGUCGAGACCAGAGAAGCCUCAGUCUCUUCAGAUAACAGCGGUCUUUGAUGUUGCCGUUUAGGAUCACCUGGUGAUGGUCAGAAAACAACACACGACUGUCACGUGACUAGGACCGAUGCCCAAACUACAACCACCUGUGACCAAGAGGGUCCACACCCAGGCCCUCAUAUGGCUCCCUUUACCCCUUAAAUAUCCACACACAAAUCCACUAUUAAUAUUCCUGUCUGUCCUAGAGCAAAGUAGAGGAAGCAGGGGGGGAAAUAAUUUUUUUUUUAAAGUAUCUAGGUUAUUUCACUCAUAAUUCUGUUCAGUUUCAGAUAGCAACUGCUGAUUAUUUCAAAGUGCAGGGUUUUUAGCUAUUCAAGUACUGCAGGAUUGAAGGAAAGGAGUACUUGAAACACAGUGUGAGCUUUUCAUUUGAGAAGACACACUCUGGAAAGACCUACCCAAUAGGCUAUAGACAUAAG